UUUCAGAUUUGUGAUCACUACUCCUGAAUCAGUAUUCUUGGCAUAGUGUCUGAUCUUUCCUGUGGGUUCACUUCGGAGCUGAACCUAUCUUCUCUGGAGUGUCAUUUAUUUCAGAGGUCUAGAUGCCAGACAAGCAUUUCUGGAUUACAUGGGAGGGAAUAGAGGAUCAGCUGAAAGAAGAACUGUAUCAGCAAUUCCCAGAGUUAUGUUGAUAUUAUAUUGUUUUAUAGGAUGUUAAUUGGGGGAGACUAAAGAAAGUACUCCUAGUAAAGUAUUCUUCAUUGGGAUCUCUCAGUCCUUUUUAUGCUGGUUAUGUUAUGAACCUCCCAAGAGUAGAAUACCUAAUUUAUGUAGUAUUUCCCGAAUGUAUUUGCCCUUUCUCUUCAUUCCUGUUACUACCUUCCAGAAUAGUGUGUUAAGUAAUAUAAUUUGGGAAAUGUUGUGUAGACUUACUUUCUUUUUUUUUUUUUUUUUUAACAUAUUGAAGAUAUAAGUUGAGGAUGAAGGCUUUAGGAACUUGGAGAAAAGACUAAGCAGAGGAAUGAAGGAAUAUCCAGCAAAGUUUAGGUUGAAGGCCUCUAAAAUGAGGUCAGGUCCUUGCAGUGCCUUUGCUACCUUAGAAGAGGAGGCUUGUACGGAACUUGUUCCUUACCUUGCUUAUAUACUUGAUACCUUGGUCUUCGCGUUUAGUAAAUACCAGCAUAAGAACCUGCUCAUUCUUUAUGAUGCCAUAGGAACUUUAGCAGAUUCAGUAGGACAUCAUUUAAACAAACCAGAAUAUAUUCAGAUGCUAAUGCCUCCACUGAUCCAGAAAUGGAACAUGUUAAAGGAUGAAGAUAAAGAUCUCUUCCCUUUACUUGAGUGCCUAUCUUCAGUUGCCACAGCCCUGCAGUCUGGUUUCCUUCCAUACUGUGAACCUGUGUACCAGCGUUGUGUAAACCUAGUACAGAAGACUCUUGCACAAGCCAUGCUGAACAAUGCUCAACCAGAUCAAUAUGAGGCUCCUGAUAAAGAUUUUAUGAUAGUGGCUCUUGAUUUACUCAGUGGCCUGGCUGAAGGACUUGGAGGCAACAUUGAACAGCUAGUAGCCCGAAGUAACAUUCUAACACUAAUGUAUCAAUGCAUGCAGGAUAAAAUGCCAGAAGUUCGACAGAGUUCCUUCGCCCUGUUAGGUGACCUGAUGAAAGCUUGCUUUCAGCAUGUUAAGCCUUGUAUAGCUGAUUUCAUGCCUAUACUGGGAACCAACCUAAAUCCAGAGUUCAUUUCAGUCUGCAAUAAUGCCACAUGGGCAAUUGGAGAAAUCUCCAUUCAAAUGGGUAUAGAGAUGCAGCCUUAUAUUCCUAUGGUGUUGCACCAGCUUGUAGAAAUCAUUAACAGACCCAACACACCAAAGACGUUGUUAGAGAAUACAGCAAUAACAAUUGGUCGUCUUGGUUACGUUUGUCCUCAAGAGGUGGCCCCCAUGCUACAGCAGUUUAUAAGACCCUGGUGCACCUCUCUGAGAAACAUAAGGGACAAUGAGGAAAAGGAUUCAGCAUUUCGUGGGAUUUGUACCAUGAUCAGUGUGAAUCCCAGUGGAGUAAUCCAAGAUUUUAUAUUUUUUUGUGAUGCUGUUGCAUCGUGGAUUAACCCAAAAAAUGAUCUGAGAGACAUGUUCUGUAAGAUCCUUCAUGGAUUUAAAAAUCAAGUUGGGGAUGAAAAUUGGAGGCGUUUCUCUGACCAGUUUCCGCUUCCCUUAAAAGAGCGUCUUGCAGCUUUUUACGGUGUUUAAUCUCAUACACUUAAGCUGCAGUCCCAUAAUUAGGGGUCCUUCAGUCUUGGAGACUAUGAGGGAGCCUCUGCACCCAGGGAAAAUGUUACCCUUUACAGGGGGGAAGGGUAAACCAGUAGGGAAUACAGUACAAUCCCAACCCUACUGGGAGGGGCGGGAGGGAGGUGUUGCCGUCACUGUAU